GUUUGGAGACUCUGCUGUGCUACCUGGAGCUGCACUGUCAGCAGGGGGUAGAGCUGCUCCACCCCACCCUCUCCACCUGUAAGAUGGUCAGCUCUGCAAACUCACCUAGAUGUAGGGCAACAUCACAACACCCGGCUCAUGUUCAUUCAUUAGGGCACACCGUAUAUAUUUAUUUUUAAACUGUGUGCAUUUUCAGUUUGCAGAACCUCGACAAGUACUGCAAACUCACUCCGAACACCUGGCCAGUCUGUUACAGUAGACUGUUUACCUGUAAGAAACAAAGUCGUGUUGGAUAGGUUGUGUUUGUGUAUAGUAUGUAGGUGUGUAUUAUUUGCUCAUGUGACGUUUUUGUGGUCAAGUAAAGUCAGGUACGUUUGUCAUGUGGUUUGUUAUUUUCAUGUUCAGGCAAUAGAUUACUAAUGUUCACCAGGUGCUUCAACCGCUUUGCUGUAGAUAAGUAAUGUUUAUGGUGAGGGGUGUUGAUGAUUGGUGUGUGCCGUCUGAUUGGCAGCUGCCCACCUGUUGCCGUGGUGUUGGCCCGGAAAUGGAUGGCAGGGGAGGGAGUGGAGGCUUGUGAUUCACUGGGCUUUGACGUGGUGGAGGUGGCAGACACUAUGGGCUGGCAGCUGGGUCUGGUGAAGAGAGGUCUCAGACAACUACAAUGGGCCACAAACGGGAGUCUUGGUGGAGUUGUCCAACCUGUCCUUCAUAGGGUAUAUCCUGUCUUCCAGGAGUCUUGGUGGAGUUGUCCAACCUGUCCUUCAUAG
rnacentral:lncRNA from 1 species